rnacentral:sRNA from 1 species
CUUAAGGACUGCCCAAAGGUCCACCCAAUUCUUUUUUUUUAGUCUUUAUUUAUUUUAUUUAUGUAUUUAUUUUGAGAUAGGAUCUCACUCUGUUGUCCAGGCUGGAGCACAGUGGUGCAAUCUCGGCUCACUGCAGCCUCCACCUCUGGGCUCAGGUGAUCCUCCCACCUUGGCCUCCCAAAGUGCUGGGAUGACAGGCGUGAGCCAGUGCGCCCAGUGAAGGUCCCCUCUUCUCUCCACCAUGACCUGCUCCACCCCUCCUUCCUCUCCAGGUGGGCAUGACGGCUCCCGGGACCCGGCGGCACAUCUAUGAUACCAAGCUGGGAACCGACAAGUGUGACAACUCCUCCAUGUCCCUGCAGAUGGGCUACACACAGGGCGCCAACCAGAGCGGCCAGGUCUUCGGCCUGGGCCGGCAGAUAUAUGACCCCAAGUACUGCCCGCAAGGCACAGUGGCCGAUGGGGCUCCCUCGGGCACCGGCGACUGCCCGGACCCGGGGGAGGUCCCUGAAUAUCCCCCUUACUACCAGGAGGAGGCCGGCUACUGAGGCUCCCAGCACGCUCUCUCCCCACAUCGUCUCCCCAUCUGGGUUUUUGGGUUUUUCUGUGUUUUCAUCUUUUUUUUUUUUUUCUUAACCCGUUCAGUGCUGCCAGUCAACCAAGGGUCUGUGAGUGUCAGCGUGGGAUCAGGCAGCAGAGCUUUGCCUUGAUCCUUCGCAAGACUGAGCCACUGGGCUGUGGGGGAAGGGGUCAAGGCCAUAUCCCAAUACGUGUAGGGCGAGGGUCCCUGCUGGCACAUUCAGGCUGUGCUGGGAAGAAGAGACCUGAGCUUGGAAGGAACCGGUCCCCGACGGUUUCUGGUUGCCUCGCCUCUUCCCCCUUUUGUCAGCUGAGCAGUUUGUGGUUUCUAUGCCCGCAAGUUUCAGGAAGUAUUCACAAAAGAAAAAUACAUUUUUUUCCCGAGGGGUGGGGCAGGGACAGUGGAGAGGGUGCUAGGAAAUGAGCCCCCUGGGAAAGGGGACCAGGCCGUGAUGUUAAAUAUCUCCGGCUCCCAAGUGACUGGAUUUCCCUAGGACCUUCAGACCAACAGACUUCAGACCCUCAGACCUGCCCCGGGGCCAGGUGGGGAAAGUGAGGGCCGUACAAGGAAGUGAAAUUCUGAGUUGUUGGGGCUAAGCCUGACGCCCUCUCCAUGCUCCCCGCCCCAACCCACUCUGGCCUCAGUAGAUUUUUUUUUCAGUUGUGGUUGUUGCCCAGGCCGGAGUGCAGUGGCGCCAUCUUGGCUCACUGCACCUCCACCUUCCGGGCUCAAGCGAUUCUCCAGCCUCAGCCUCCUGAGUAGCUAGGACUGCAGGUGCUCCACCACGCCCGGCUAAUUUUUGUAUUUUUAGUAGAGACGGGGUUUCCCCAUGUUGGCCAGGCUGGUCUCGAACUCCUGGCCUCAGGUGUGAUCCGCCCGCCUCCGCCUCCCCAAGCGCUGAGAUUACAGGUGUGAGCCACCGUGCCCAGGCCCUCAAUAAGUUUUAAGGAGCCCCCAGCCCUCCUCCCUUCUGGGCCUGACCAGCUUAUACUGCUCCAUCUUCCCGGGCCACAUGCCCCGCCAAGUACUGCACAGGGACCCCCCGCCCAGGGGCCCUGCUCCGUGAGAUAAUGUGAAAUACGACUGUGGACCAAACGCAAUAAAACCUCUGUACGAAG